CGUUUCUGAGCACUCUGGAGCGCUCUCGCAAGCGGCGUUGUCUUCGGCUGCUUGAAAGAGGGUGCGCGCCCUGCGUUCGGCUGGUUCUUCUCGAUUGCUCUCCUCUAUCUUGGAGCGCUCUGAGGCGCUCCGAGCCCUGUCGUCGGAGCAGUCAUCGAGAUUGAAACGUCAUCGCAGCGCCGGGUCGCUGCUGUUGGCGACGGCCCACCGUAACCUUGGCAACCUAGGCCACUGCAUGCUGGCGUCUCGACGAACGUUCGUCCCGCCGGCACGUCCGCCGGUUUUUCCGGCAGCACCGGGAGCUUUGGAUAGGCGAAACAUCGGACGUUGGCAGUAGUCACGUGGUUUCGCAUCAGCAAUUUCCUCCUCCGAGAGCGAGUCGCACGUUCGGCUUGCGCGCUUGUCCCCUACCUUUGAGCUCGGGAAACGACCCAUCUACCCGACUCUGCUUCGGGGCAUACAGGCGACCAGUCGAACAUACCAUAAGAGGUGGCACAUCCGACACGAACACAUUCGCGUCGGCGUGUGUGUGUGUGUGCGUGCGUGUACGCAUUUACCGCUGAUCAAGGCAUUCGUAUCACUGCCAGGAAAUACCUGAGUGAAGUGGUCUUCUUAGGACGAGACAGACUGUUUGUUCGUAUAGGGCGUUAUUGAUACAGUGAAGCCGAUGGGCCCCAGUGAACUUGGGGUCAUGUUGACGUCGUGGGAAUGAUGUCGCAGGAACCCGGUUCCGUACGUCGAGAGAAGCUCUCAGCAUGUGAGCCGCUGAUAACAGUUUCAGUAGAAGACCGAUUCUACAGUCUGCUCAAGACGCACCGGAGAAUCUGCCGCUGUUCGUCGUCCCCGGAAUUCACUGGCAGAUGAGGUACUCGACGGAAUUCUCACAUCUGCAGUGAGCGCGCCUAGGUCCUUCGCGUGGCGACAGAUAACGUCAUCAAUAAUAAAGGCAUUUGCAUUUACCGGGUGGUAGACUGAAGAGGACGAUGAUGAUUACAAUUUCGACGACUGCCCGGAACGCUUAACGAAAGGAGCUUUUAAGCGAGUUCCAUUAGUUGGAGCAAUUUCGAUCUGGCUGCGCCGCCCACAGCCUGCAGCUUGCCGCAAAAGCCGCCAUUCGGCAGGGCCCAAAUGCCGAGGAAGUCGUACUAAUAUGCGGCGCCAUCGUUCCAUCUAUACGCAAGAGCACCGCCUACACGGAAGAAGUGUUGAACGUGGCCGGUCGGUAUCUGGAAUCUCACAGCGCGACGAGGUGGAACUCGCAGCUUCUGAUGAUGAGAAAGCGCUUAACACUUUUUCGGAUCAUCCAGGCCUGACAAAAACUCUGCACGUGUGCAAGAAGGCCAAACUGUCUAAAUAUGAGCUGAGGCUGAAGACAGACUUGCUUGAGCUUCUCUUCCCUGUAAAGGAAGCCACGGAGUUGCUGCAGAAAAGGCACGAGACAACCGGGCUUUUGCUUCCCGCGCUGCGAAAUAUCGAAGUUUCUCUCGCGGAAAUCUAAAGCAAAGGCGCACUUCUUAGCAAAGAGGCGGCUAAAGGCCUACAGCGUAACCUGAAGAGGCGGUUCGCAAGCAGGUGGUCUGAUUGUGUUCUUUUUAUGGGUGCCCUCCUAGACCCACGGUUUAGGACUUCUUGGUAUUCAGCUGCAACACCGAGCAGGUGCGUUCUGAUAUGUGCUGGGGAGGAGGCCUCUUUUGUUAGGGCAGGACAGCGCCAGCACUUUCGCAAAUACACACUCUGAUGCAGGACCAAGCAAACUGAUGUUUAAAAGCAUCGGGCAAAAUGAAAAUGCCCACCGAGACAAUAUGCCUGGGUCCAUUGCGGGGGAAAUUUCUCUUUAUCUUACAGAGGGAUCUUGCGCAGACACAGUCAAGUCCCUGACCUAUUGGAAAGCGAACGAUAGGCGAUUUCCCUUGCUUUACCGCCUCGCAAUGCAGUUUUCACUGUGAAUGCGGCGUCAGCUGACGUGGAACGCGUUUUCUACGGCAUCCCUGAUAACGACAGCGAAGCGAAAUCGGCUUUGAAACGCCUCUUUCGAGCAGCUCAUGUUUGUGAAGCGCAACACAUUGACGUAGGCGGCAAUGGUUUUGUCUCGCCUUCCUUCCCCCUCUUUUCUCUUUCUUUUUCUUUUCGGAACUAACCGUUGCAGAAGCCAUCAUUUACACUUCGGGUUUUCGAAACUAAAUGGCGAAGCGCCCAUUUUUGUAAAAUAUCCAGGAAUAAAACCAAAGUAAAGCUUC